AGGGGUGUCGCCAAGAGGUAAGGCAAAGGACUUUGACUCCUUUAUACGAUGGUCCGAAUCCAUCUACCCCUGCCA
rnacentral:tRNA from 1 species